rnacentral:rRNA from 1 species
AUUGAACGCUGGCGGAAUGCUUUACACAUGCAAGUCGAACGGCAGCACGGACUUCGGUCUGGUGGCGAGUGGCGAACGGGUGAGUAACAUAUCGGAACGUAUCCAAUAAUGGGGGAUAACUAAUCGAAAGGUUGGCUAAUACCGCAUACGCCCUACGGGGGAAAGCUAGGGACCUUCGGGCCUGGCGUUAAUGGAGCGGCCGAUAUCUGAUUAGCUAGUUGGUGGGGUAAAGGCCCACCAAGGCGACGAUCAGUAGCUGGUCUGAGAGGACGACCAGCCACACUGGAACUGAGACACGGUCCAGACUCCUACGGGAGGCAGCAGUGGGGAAUUUUGGACAAUGGGCGCAAGCCUGAUCCAGCCAUUCCGCGUGAGUGAAGAAGGCCUUCGGGUUGUAAAGCUCUUUCGCAAGGGAAGAAAACUUAGCCUCUAACAUAGGCUGAGGUUGACGGUACCUUGAUAAGAAGCACCGGCUAACUACGUGCCAGCCGCCGCCGUAACAC